rnacentral:sRNA from 1 species
GGCGGUUUCCAAGCUAAGGAACGGUUUGGGGCAGUGUCGUUCCCGGAAGUCGGCCGCCGUUACCCGCUCACCAGCUACGUGGCGCGUCUGGACACUGCCCAUCUCUAAGAUAAGAACCUGGAAAGGGGACUCUGUUGGCCAUUGGAAAUUGCAGUAUAAUGUCUCAGGUGACAUUUAGCGAUGUGGCUAUAGACUUCUCUCAUGAAGAGUGGGCAUGCCUAGAUUCUGCUCAGAGGGACUUAUAUAAGGAUGUGAUGGUCCAGAAUUAUGAGAACCUGGUCUCUGUAGGUAAGGAUAUUACCCCUUCCACUCCAAUAGGGGACACCUUUCUUUUGCCACCCUGAAUUGCUGGAGAUCCUCCUAAGUAAAUGGCUGAAUUUCUGUACCAUGCUCCCAAGGAAAUGUGCAGCUCUGUUGUGCCCUGCCUGAAGCUUAUCUUUCCAUUUCAAUGAACACCCUUCAUCCAUUCCUGUGGUCCCUCUUGUGAUGGCCUCUCAUAAUAGAGGACCACGGCUUAAACAAUUCUAUACUCUUCCUG